UACGAAGGGGGCGAGCGUUGUUCGGAUUUACUGGGCGUAAAGGGCGCGCAGGCGGCAGAUCAAGUCAGAUGUGAAAGCCCCAGGCUUAACCUGGGAAGUGCGCGCGAAACUGACGAGCUUGAGUGCCGGAGAGGGUCGCGGAAUUCCCGGUGUAGAGGUGAAAUUCGUAGAUAUCGGGAGGAACACCAGUGGCGAAGGCGGCGACCUGGACGGACACUGACGCUGAGACGCGAAAGCGUGGGGAGCAAACAGG
rnacentral:rRNA from 1 species